AGAGAGAGACAUGCGCGCAUAUCAAUAAGCGGAGGAAAAGAAACUAACAAGGAUUCCCUUAGUAACGGCGAGUGAAGCGGGAAGAGCUCAAAUUUGAAAUCUUCAAGGUUCUACCUUGACGAAUUGUAGUUUAUAGAAGUGUUUUCUGUUAGUGGAGUGGCAAAAGUUCUUUGGAAUAGGACAUCAUAGAGGGUGAGAAUCCCGUAUUUGGUCAUUCCUCCUAGCGUUGUGAUACACUUUCAACGAGUCGGAUUGUUUGGGAAUGCAGUCCAAAAUGGGUGGUAAAUUUCAUCUAAAGCUAAAUAUUGGCGAGAGACCGAUAGCGAACAAGUACCGUGAGGGAAAGAUGAAAAGAACAUUGAAAAGAGAGUUAAACAGUACGUGAAAUUGUCAAAAGGGAAGCGUUUGACACCAGUGUUGUUUUUCCGAAAAUCAAUUACGAAUGUUUUAUUUUUGAGGAGUUAUGACUUCAUCGGCUUGCUCCUUUCUUUACUGAAACUUUCUUAAUGCACUUUUCGGUUAACAAGUCAACAUCAAUUUCUUUUGUUGUAAAAGGGUAUGAGGAAGGUGGCUUUCUUUUCGGAGAGAGUGUUUAUAGCCUUGUGCCUCUGCAAUCGGAGAGAUUGAGGUCUGCAGCGUAGAUCCUUCGGGGUUAGAUACGUUUGUGCUAAGUUAUAGCUUUUCAUAGACAACUUGUUGACUAUGUUUAGUCUUGUAGCUUACUCGCUGACGCUAUUUUACCUACGCUUAGGAUGUUGAUAGUCACAGCGUGUAC
rnacentral:rRNA from 1 species